GAUGAACGCUGGCGGCGUGCCUAAUACAUGCAAGUCGAGCGAACAGACGAGGAGCUUGCUCCUCUGACGUUAGCGGCGGACGGGUGAGUAACACGUGGAUAACCUACCUAUAAGACUGGGAUAACUUCGGGAAACCGGAGCUAAUACCGGAUAAUAUAUUGAACCGCAUGGUUCAAUAGUGAAAGACGGUUUUGCUGUCACUUAUAGAUGGAUCCGCGCCGCAUUAGCUAGUUGGUAAGGUAACGGCUUACCAAGGCAACGAUGCGUAGCCGACCUGAGAGGGUGGGGGGCCACAGUGAAAGUGAAACCGGGUCCGGCCUCCGCCGGGAGGCGGAAGGGGGGAAUCUUCCGCAAGGGGCAAAGCCCGGACGGGACACCCCGGGGUGAUGGAGAAAGUUCUUGGGAUAGAAAAACUUUUUUAUGGGGGAAAAACAAAUGUGUAAGUACCUAUGCACGUCUUGACGGUACCUAAUCAAAAAGCACGGGCUAACUACGUG
rnacentral:rRNA from 1 species